CAACUACCGAGCCCCUGCGCCCAGAGCCUGUGCUCCACAGCAAGAGCAGCCACUGCGAUGAGAAGCCCGCACACGGCAGUGAAGAGUAGCCCCUGCACCACAGUGGAGACCCAACACAAUCAAAAGUCAGGAAGGUACCAUGGAGGAUGGCAUGGCAGCCUACUCCAGUAUUCUCGCCUGGAGAAUCCCAUGGACAGAGGAACAUGGUGGUCCGUAAGGUCACAAAGACACGACUGAAGGAGCUUAACAUACA
ensembl:lncRNA